AGAAAAAUAAACCCUGAGUCUACAUAUCACUCUGUCCGUCCUAUAUGAAAAUUUUUUAUAAUUAGUAUUUUCAUUGUUGUUAGAUGAUAAAAUAUGAUUAAUACUUUAUGCGUGACUUGUCUUUUUAAUUUUUUUCAAAUAAGAUGAACAGUUAAACGUUGGACACGGAAACCUAGAGUUUGUCUUAUU
rfam:Oryza glaberrima chromosome 1 Oglab01_0058_11, whole genome shotgun sequence.